rnacentral:rRNA from 1 species
AACGAACGCUGGCGGCAUGCCUAACACAUGCAAGUCGAACGAAGCCUUCGGGCUUAGUGGCGCACGGGUGCGUAACGCGUGGGAAUCUGCCCCUUGCUUCGGAAUAACAGUUAGAAAUGACUGCUAAUACCGGAUGAAGUCUUCGGACCAAAGAUUUAUCGGCAAGGGAUGAGCCCGCGUAGGAUUAGGUAGUUGGUGGGGUAAAGGCCUACCAAGCCGACGAUCCUUAGCUGGUCUGAGAGGAUGAUCAGCCACACUGGGACUGAGACACGGCCCAGACUCCUACGGGAGGCAGCAGUGGGGAAUAUUGGACAAUGGACGCAAGUCUGAUCCAGCAAUGCCGCGUGAGUGAUGAAGGCCUUAGGGUUGUAAAGCUCUUUUACCAGGGAUGAUAAUGACAGUACCUAGAGAAUAAGCUCCGGCUAACUCCGUG